UACGGAGGGUGCGAGCGUUGUCCGGAAUCACUGGGCGUAAAGGGCGCGUAGGCGGCUUUCUAAGUCACUUGUGAAAUCCUGGGGCUCAACUCCAGGGCUGCAGGUGAGACUGGAUGGCUCGAGCGCGGUAGAGGCGAGCGGAAUUCCCGGUGUAGCGGUGGAAUGCGUAGAUAUCGGGAAGAACACCGGUGGCGAAGGCGGCUCGCUGGGCCGUUGCUGACGCUGAGGCGCGAAAGCGUGGGGAGCAAACAGG
rnacentral:rRNA from 1 species